CCUACGGGGUGCAGCAGUGGGGAAUAUUGCACAAUGGGGGAAACCCUGAUGCAGCGACGCCGCGUGGGUGACGAAGUAUUUCGGUAUGUAAAGCCCUAUCAGCAGGGAAGAAGAUGACAGUACCUGACCAAGAAGCCCCGGCUAACUACGUGCCAGCAGCCGCGGUAAUACGUAGGGGGCAAGCGUUAUCCGGAUUUACUGGGUGUAAAGGGAGCGUAGGUGGCAUGGCAAGCCAGAAGUGAAAACCCGGGGCUUAACCCCGCGGAUUGCUUUUGGAACUGUCAGGCUGGAGUGCAGGAGGGGCAGGCGGAAUUCCUGGUGUAGCGGUGAAAUGCGUAGAUAUCAGGAGGAACACCGGUGGCGAAGGCGGCCUGCUGGACUGUAACUGACACUGAGGCUCGAAAGCGUGGGGAGCAAACAGGAUUAGAUACCCGAGUAGUC
rnacentral:rRNA from 1 species